UGGCUAUGUCGGAAGGAUUCAGCAAUUCUG
rnacentral:piRNA from 1 species